UUGCCAGCCCGCUCAAGAACUCAAGGAAUUGACGGGGCCCGCACAAGCGGUGGAGUAUGUGGUUUAAUUCGAUGCAACGCGAAGAACCUUACCUGGUCUUGACAUCCCGGAGACCCUUAGGAAACUAGGGGGUGCUUCCAUCUGGAAGAAUCUGGAGACAGGUGCUGCAUGGCUGUCGUCAGCUCGUGUCGUGAGAUGUUGGGUUAAGUCCCGCAACGAGCGCAACCCUUGCCUUUAGUUGCCAGCAGUUCGGCUGGGCACUCUAAAGGGACUGCCGGUGUUAAACCGGAGGAAGGUGGGGAUGACGUCAAGUCCUCAUGGCCUUUAUGACCAGGGCUACACACGUACUACAAUGGCCGAUACAAAGGGCAGCGACACUGCGAGGUGAAGCCAAUCCCGUAAAAUCGGUCUCAGUCCGGAUUGGAGUCUGCAACUCGACUCCAUGAAGUUGGAAUCGCUAGUAAUCGUGGAUCAGCAUGCCACGGUGAAUACGUUCCCGGGCCUU
rnacentral:rRNA from 1 species